AGUUCUUAUUUGAAUGCAACCAGCUUGAUACAAUGAAAGCUCAAGGUGAUGUUUUGUAUAUUGAAAGAGCUCUCAUUUGAAAGUAACGAGUUUUUGAUACAUGAAUAAUAAUCAUUAAAAACCAAAGUGUAGUUCAUAAGUGCAAAUUCAAAGGUCCAAAGCUUAGUGUACUGAAUCUCAAAUGUAAUUAAAAACCUACACAAAAUCCAAGCCAUCAAUUUCAAAUAAAAGCAAAAUACCCAAUCAGGAUUACAAAUCAAACUUCUUGUUCCUCGAAUCCAUCAUUGACAAUGUAUUCAUAUAAUGGUAGGGUCUCAUAGUCAACAUCAUCUUCAUCUUCUGCAAGUAUAAAACUCCAAAAUCCUGCACAUUCUCUUGAAGUAGACGACUCAUGUAUUUGUUAAGCAGCUGCUAUCCAAUGCUAAAGAAGGACUAUGAAGCUACUGUUGUGUUAUGAAUACUCAACAGAUGACAAGCCAUUGCUGACAAAUUACCAUACCUAUGAGUAUUAUCUUUCCAAAACUGGAGAAUGUUCAAGCUCUAAAAUUAGCCAUGUCUCGUGCGGGUUCUUCAAGAGAAGCUUGGGGAGAUGUCUUUCCACUUGCAACAACUCUGGUUUUCGAAACACAAAGAAAUCAUGUAAAGAUUUUUUAAAAAAUAAGGAAUGGUUAAUUCAAUUCAAGUUUAGAAUGGAUCGGAUAACUUAUAAUGGCUUGACGCACGUAAGCGUACAUUAUUCUUUGCUAUUGUAACACAUGUUAUUAAAAUCUAAUAUUAAUCUUCAUAAAAUAAUAAUAAUUAUUAAAAUAAUAAUCUUCGUCAAAAUAAGAAUUGAUUUUAUAAUAAUAUUCUUUGAAAUUUUUAUAAGUAUAUCCAGGCAGUAAGAAAUCAUCUUAUUAUUCGCAUGAUAAUAAAUUAUAUUAGUUUUCUAUGUUGGUUGACAAAAUUACAAAAACGUCAUACUUUUCUCGCAAAGUUUUCCAUCAAAAAUAUUGAGGAAUACGAUGUGUCACAAAUUUUCUUUUGACCUAAGCAAAAAAGAGAGUAUAAGGUUUACCAUUUUUAUCUAUAUUUUUACUUUUGAAAUUUUCAUUCUGGUUAGACUGUGAUUCUUGACAUUAUUGUGUAGAAAAUAGAAGUACAUAAACGAGACUGAUAUAAGAUUUUUAUUGUUGUUAUUAGGCUGAUAAUAAAAAUCUCUAAAUGUACUUCCUGAUCCAAUUUUUUUUUCCUUACUCAUAAGUGGUAGUGAUACAACGUAGAAGAAAAUAGAAAAACUACCAUUUCUUAUAACAAACUAUGAUUUUAAAAAAUUAUUCUUAGUUAUUAACUAUAAAAAUAUUUAAAAGUUAAUAGCAAAAAAAAUGGAAAGGAGAGAAAAUAGGUUUAACUAUUUUGCAUUACAAUAGGCAUACACCAUAUUUGUAGGAUUUAAAUACGUAUAUGUUAUUCAUAUAAUGGAAAACAAAAGUAGAUGUAAGUUAUUAAAUAAAUUAUUUAUUCAGGAAUUUAUAAUCUUCAAUGUAGGUUUUCGCCGUAGAUACAGAAACAUUGUUCUAUGCUCUUUUAACACAUGUUCUGAGUCCCAGCUUUGGAGAAACAAAAAGACAAGUAAGGUUUUUGUGUUUGCUCCAUUUGGUUUGCUUACAAGUUUCUUUGCCCGCUUCAAGACCUUGGCCAUCAACAACUAUACAAACAAAAAAGUAACAACAACAUCAUUCGCAGGAAAAAUAAUUACCAUAGAUAUUAUGAUGUGAUUGCAAUGGUGAAAAUAAUUAGAUGAUAAUAAAAUUAAAACUAGUAUAAACGCAUACAUUCAUGAAGACGAAAUAAAGCAAUCGAGAUGAUGAAAACUAUAACGAACUGUGACGAUAUCAUAUUGUUCUUUGUUAUAUUCUUACACUACAAACACGUUUAUUGUUGUUGCUUUUUAAUUUUAUGUUUACUUGUUUGAUGGUUGAAAUUUUUAUUUGAGGUCAAGAUUAAUUUAUAGAUAAAAAUAUGUAAACUAGUAAGGCAUGUUUUGCAUGGCCGCGAUAUAGAAAAAUUGGUUAGAUUUGUUUGGCUUAUUUUUUCUAACUAUUAUGUGGUAAUUAUACUGGUGUUUAACACUUUCUUCCUUUUAAGUUACUCUUAGAAACAAUCAAAUUUUCGUGAGAUAGUCAUAUUGGAGCAAUAAAUUGGAGUUAUUAACUAAUUUACUAACUGUUUAUAAUAAAAUAUUACCAAUUCUCACAAAUCUCAUUUUCAGCAAAAUGUGAAUCUCUAUAAGAACUUUAAAAAAAUCACAUUUCGCUGAAAAUAAUAUUUGUGAAAUUGGUAAUAUUUUUUAGAGAAAAAAUUAAUUAAUAAUGGUUAGCAAAUUAGUUAAUAAAUCCUAUUAGUUUCUCUAAUGUGAUUAGCACACAAUAGUUUGACUGCUUCUAAACACCAAUAUAAUUACCACAAAAUAGUUAGAAAAACAAGCCAAACAAAUCUAACCAAUUUUUAUGGAUCACCAUGCAAGACAUGCAUUGCUAGUUUACAUCUUCUAUUUAUAAAUUAAUGUUCACUUCAAAUGGAAAUUUCAAACCAUCAAACCAGUAAACAUAAAAUUCAAAAGAAACAACAAUAAACGUGUUUGUAACGUAUGAAUAUCACAAAGAACAAUAUGUCAUCAUCACAGUUCGCUAUCUUUUGCAUCAUCUUGAUUGCAUUAUUUCCUCUUCAUGAAUUUGUUGAUGGCCAAGGUCUUGAAGCGGGGAAAGAAACUUGUAAGCAAAUCAAAUGCGGCAAAGA